AACCCAUGUGCAUUGACAGAUGAAUGGAUAAGGAAGAUGUGGUCAUAUCUAUGAUGGAAUAUAGCCAUGAAGAAGAAGUGAAAUCUCGCUAUUGACAACAACAUGGAUGGACUGUAAUGCUAAAAGAAUAAGGCAGAGAAAACAAAUAGUGUCUGAUUUCACCUAUAUAUAAAAUCUAAAAGGAAAACAAGGCUCAUAGAUGCAGAGAAGAGAUUGGUUGUUUCCAGAGUCUAGCUGCCUCAAACAAUGCUUGAAGCAAGCACACCAGCAAGCCAGGACAAUACAGAGCCUAUAGCUCUGGGAAGUCUGUUGCUGUUUUCCUGUGGGAUAAAUUCCAACGGUGAGAUCGUUGGGUCAUGGAGUACGUGUAUUUCAAAACUUAACAGCAACUGCAGAUUUCUUCCUCACAAAGCUGUAGGAAUUCACAAGCCAUGGGCCUCGAGCCCUGUUUACCGUGCACCGUGCCAACGGGUGAGUUCCCUGGAGAUUCAGCAUCAAGAGUUUCUAGAGAAAAUUGUUAUCAGAGCCCAUUUUGUAGGACUGGGGUCCAAGUAUUCUGAAUGCAUUUUCUUCUUCGAGAACUGAUCCUAGCAGGGAUCAAAUACAUCUUGAUUGAAUCUGAACCUUCCUGCAUGGAGACUGAACUGGUUGCUGGGCCUCAUGGCUGGAUUAGCUGUUGGAGAGCCAGCUCCUGGCCCCCUAUGGAAGCACACAGCCCACCCCAGCACCGUGCAAUUCCAGCCAGCUACCAGCAGGGUCUCUGAGCUGGAGCCUGGCGGGGGUAACUCGUCCUUAGAACACAGCAGGCAGGUGUGCAGGGCAGGGCUACACCACCCAGGUCACGGAGAGAGAAGCAAGCAGACUGUGAGUGAACACAGCCUGGCCAAAGGCAAGUGGAGGUCUGAGGACAGGAGGCUCAGCCCUUCUGAGCGGAGAACUGUUGAAGAACUUCAGAGAAAACCAAACCACAGAUUUUUGUUUGUUCGCUUGUUUUUCUUUCAGUGUUACUGAGAUGUAGUUGACAUGCAGCACUGUGCAAAUGUAAGGUGCACAUGUGUUGUGAAAUGAUGACCAUGAUAAGUUUAGUUAACACCUAUCAUCUCCUACAGAUGCCAAAAUAAAUAAAUAAAUAAAUAAAUAAGAGAAAAUGAAAGAAAAAAAAAGGAACAAGAAGAAAUGUAUUUUUCUUUUGAUGAGUACUUUUAGAAUUUGCAACCUUAGUCACUUUCAAAUAUACCAACAGCAGCGUUAACUAUAGUCCUCAUGUUGUACGUUAUAUCCACAAUAUUUACAUAUCUUCUUCUGGAAAUUUGUACCUCUGACCCCCUUCAUCUGUUUCCCCACUGCCCCCGCCUCUGGAAACCACACGUCUGAUCUCUUUUUGUAUGAGGGUUUUUUUUGUGUGGUUUUUUUGUUUUUGUUUUUGUUUUUUAAACUCCACAUACAAGUGAAAUCAUGUAGUGUUUGUCUUUCUCUGACUCAUUUCAUUCAGUUUAGAACUCUCAGGUCCACCCACACUUUUUUUUUUUUUCCCUUAAGAUUUUAUUUAUUUGUCAGAGAGAAAGAGUGAGCACA